rnacentral:rRNA from 1 species
ACGUCAAAUCAUCAUGCCCCUUACGUCUAGGGCAACAGGCGUGCUACAAUGGCUGGUACAAAGAGUUGCAGUAUCGCAAGGUGGAGCUAAUCUCUAAAGCCAGUCUCAGUUCGGAUUGAAGUCUGCAACUCGACUUCAUGAAGUUGAAAUCGCUAGUAAUCCCGAAUCAGAAUGUCGGGGUGAAUACGUUCUCGGGUGUU